UGGCUUCUCAGCACAGCGGGAUGAGGGAUGGAAGGGGCUCUGUGUAAGGGCUCCCUUCUGUCCCUCAUCCCGCUUUGCUGGGAAGCCA
rnacentral:miRNA from 1 species